rnacentral:rRNA from 1 species
UUGAGUUUGAUCCUGGCUCAGGACGAACGCUGGCGGCGCGCCUAACACAUGCAAGUCGAACGAGCGAGAGAGAGCUUGCUUUCUCGAGCGAGUGGCGAACGGGUGAGUAACGCGUGAGGAACCUGCCUCAAAGAGGGGGACAACAGUUGGAAACGACUGCUAAUACCGCAUAAGCCCACGGGUCGGCAUCGACCAGAGGGAAAAGGAGCAAUCCGCUUUGAGAUGGCCUCGCGUCCGAUUAGCUGGUUGGUGAGGUAACGGCCCACCAAGGCAACGAUCGGUAGCCGGACUGAGAGGUUGAACGGCCACAUCGGGACUGAGACACGGCCCAGACUCCUACGGGAGGCAGCAGUGGGGAAUAUUGCACAAUGGGGGAAACCCUGAUGCAGCGACGCCACGUGGAGGAAGAAGGUCUUCGGAUUGUAAACUCCUGUUGUUGAGGAAGAUAAUGACGGUACUCAACAAGGAAGUGACGGCUAACUACGUGCCAGCAGCCGCGGUAAAACGUAGGUCACAAGCGUUGUCCGGAAUUACUGGGUGUAAAGGGAGCGCAGGCGGGAAGACAAGUUGGAAGUGAAAUCCAUGGGCUCAACCCAUGAACUGCCUUCAAAACUGUUUUUCUUGAGUAGUGCAGAGGUAGGCGGAAUUCCCGGUGUAGCGGUGGAAUGCGUAGAUAUCGGGAGGAACACCAGUGGCGAAGGCGGCCUACUGGGCACCAACUGACGCUGAGGCUCGAAAGUGUGGGUAGCAAACAGGAUUAGAUACCCUGGUAGUCCACACCGUAAACGAUGAUUACUAGGUGUUGGAGGAUUGACCCCUUCAGUGCCGCAGUUAACACAAUAAGUAAUCCACCUGGGGAGUACGACCGCAAGGUUGAAACUCAAAGGAAUUGACGGGGGCCCGCACAAGCAGUGGAGUAUGUGGUUUAAUUCGACGCAACGCGAAGAACCUUACCAAGUCUUGACAUCCCUUGACGAUGCUGGAAACAGUAUUUCUCUUCGGAGCAAGGAGACAGGUGGUGCAUGGUUGUCGUCAGCUCGUGUCGUGAGAUGUUGGGUUAAGUCCCGCAACGAGCGCAACCCUUAUGGUCAGUUACUACGCAAGAGGACUCUGGCCAGACUGCCGUUGACAAAACGGAGGAAGGUGGGGAUGACGUCAAAUCAUCAUGCCCUUUAUGACUUGGGCUACACACGUACUACAAUGGCGUUAAACAAAGAGAAGCAAGACCGCGAGGUGGAGCAAAACUCAGAAACAACGUCCCAGUUCGGACUGCAGGCUGCAACUCGCCUGCACGAAGUCGGAAUUGCUAGUAAUCGUGGAUCAGCAUGCCACGGUGAAUACGUUCCCGGGCCUUGCACUCACCGCCCGUCA